ACUGGAGGUUAACUUCCCUAAAGGCACCCAAUCUUGCCUGAUCUUAGAAGCUAAGCAGAGUUUUCCCUGGUUAGUACCUGGAUGGAAGACCGCCAAUAAGUACCAAGUGCUAAAGGUU
rnacentral:rRNA from 11 species